rnacentral:rRNA from 1 species
CGGGGUGCAGCAGGCGCGAAAACUUUACAAUGCGGGAAACCGUGAUAAGGGGACACCGAGUGCCAGCAUCAUAUGCUGGCUGUCCAGGUGUGUAAAAUACACCUGUUAGCAAGGGCCGGGCAAGACCGGUGCCAGCCGCCGCGGUAACACCGGCGGCCCGAGUGGUGAUCGUGAUUAUUGGGUCUAAAGGGUCCGUAGCCGGUUUGGUCAGUCCUCCGGGAAAUCUGACGGCUCAACCGUUAGGCUUUCGGGGGAUACUGCCAGGCUUGGAACCGGGAGAGGUAAGAGGUACUACAGGGGUAGGAGUGAAAUCUUGUAAUCCCUGUGAGACCACCUGUGGCGAAGGCGUCUUACCAGAACGGGUUCGACGGUGAGGGACGAAAGCUGGGGGCACGAACCGGAUUAGAUACCCGGGUAGUCCCAGCCGUAAACGAUGCUCGCUAGGUGUCAGGCAUGGCGCGACCGUGUCUGGUGCCGCAGGGAAGCCGUGAAGCGAGCCACCUGGGAAGUACGGCCGCAAGGCUGAAACUUAAAGGAAUUGGCGGGGGAGCACAAGGGCGAUUCGCG